rnacentral:rRNA from 1 species
UUAAGCAUAUCAAUAAGCGGAGGAAAAGAAACCAACAGGGAUUGCCCCAGUAACGGCGAGUGAAGCGGCAACAGCUCAAAUUUGAAAUCUGGCCUCGGCCCGAGUUGUAAUUUGCAGAGGAAGCUUCUGGUGCGGCGCCGUCCGAGUCUCCUGGAACGGAGCGCCAUAGAGGGUGAGAGCCCCGUAUGGACGGAUGCCAAACCUGUGUGAAGCUCCUUCGACGAGUCGAGUAGUUUGGGAAUGCUGCUCUAAAUGGGAGGUAAAUUCCUUCUAAAGCUAAAUAUUGGCCAGAGACCGAUAGCGCACAAGUAGAGUGAUCGAAAGAUGAAAAGCACUUUGAAAAGAGGGUUAAACAGCACGUGAAAUUGUUGAAAGGGAAGCGCUUGUGACCAGACUUGAGCGCGGCGGAUCAUCCGGUGUUCUCACCGGUGCACUCCGCCGUGUCCAGGCCAGCAUCGGUUUCCGCGGGGGGACAAAGGUCCCGGGAACGUAGCUCCUCCGGGAGUGUUAUAGCCCGGGGCGCAAUGCCCCCGCGGGGACCGAGGACCGCGCAUCUGCAAGGAUGCUGGCGUAAUGGUCAUCAGCGACCCGUCUUGAAACACGGACCAAGGAGUCAAGGUUUUGCGCGAGUGUUUGGGUGUUAAACCCGCACGCGUAAUGAAAGUGAACGUAGAUGAGAGCUUCGGCGCAUCAUCGACCGAUCCUGAUGUAUUCGGAUGGAUUUGAGUAGGAGCGUUAAGCCUUGGACCCGAAAGAUGGUGAACUAUGCUUGGAUAGGGUGAAGCCAGAGGAAACUCUGGUGGAGGCUCGCAGCGGUUCUGACGUGCAAAUCGAUCGUCAAAUCUGAGCAUGGGGGCGAAAGAC